CGCAAAUUGCAUCCCCUGGUAGUCCAGAGGAUAUGCCUGUUCGAGUGUUGAUAUCCCCAAUCAACGCCAGUUUAUUUCUGGCAGGCUUUGAGGUCUUAAGUCGUUGGCUUUACCUUCAAUGUGGCACCCUUGGGUGGAUGGAUGCUGUUGCAUUAAUCUGUUUCCGCCAAACCAGCCCAAGAGGUUGCACACUUGAGAUUUAUAUCUCUACACGUUCUAGUGCAACGUAAUCUGAUAUUUGACCUCGGAUCAGGCAAGGAUACCCGCUGAACUUAA
rnacentral:misc_RNA from 1 species